CGGCGGACGGGUGAGGAACGCGUGGACAACCUGCCGACACGUGGGGGGCAACCCCGGGAAACCGGGGCUACUACCGCAUACGCUCGCUGGCUGGUGGGGCUGGUGAGGAAAGGCCGCGAGGUCGCGUGUUGAGGGGUCCGCGUCCGAUUAGCUGGUUGGUGGGGUCACGGCCUACCAAGGCGACGAUCGGUCGCUGGUCUGAGAGGACGAUCAGCCACAGGGGCACUGAGACACGGGCCCC
rnacentral:rRNA from 1 species